GGUUUCGUACGUAGCAGAGCAGCUCC
rnacentral:piRNA from 6 species